UUCUUUUGUCGUCUCCAAAAAAGCUAGCAUCAUCUGGGUUUCCUGAUUUUUUUUCUCAAGCAGCCUGGUGUAACUUGCCACGAGAGCCCAGAUGACAUCAUCGUCCUCCGCUUCCAAUAGUGUCUUUUGUUGGGCGCCAAUGUGACGGACUGCCAGCCAUCCUCGUGUGGUUUGGGGUGACACUGGACACAUGACACAUCGUAGCAGACACGCCCCUGCGCUCAUCAAGAAGACCGCGCCCACUCUCCGCCGCAGCCGACGGCAAUCAACGUCUGACACACCUGGCAUUGAUGAAGGAGGACAGUAUAAAGACGGUCGACGGUGACUCUUCGAUGUCGGAACGUAAUCUACUACCUCGCUCGUGUCACCACUGCUGUUUCCCUCCUGGACCUGUUUGCCCUUCUGGAUCCUCGACCUAACUUUGGACUUUCGGACCCUCUCUCCGGCCUUUGACCCCCGCUUGGACCUUGGACUUCCCCUGGCUUCUUCCCCACUCGGAUUUGGACGCUGAACAUCCAACACGCACCUCAACAAACCUCACGGUAUUCCCAUA